AACUCUACAAGUGCUCCAUUCGAUCCUAUAUGCAUCAAAGGUGUAUGCGUUUGCUAAGGACAGAUCUGGUCCGCUCAGACCAGGUGUUGAGACAAUAGAGAGAACUCUUAAGACCAUUGUCGGCCCCACAUAUGACAUGUUCCAUGACACCCCUGUUGAGCUGAAGUUUGUUGAUCGUCAGCAACGACUUUCCUAUAAUGAAGAUUCAAGUUUUUGAAAUAGCUGAUAAUAUGAAAAGGACUAUGAAAACAGGAGCUUCGUGAAACCAAG